UGCCAAUAUAAGGGUGAACAUCUAAAUUUAAUGAGUAAUCAGUUAUAAAAUAUCUAUAUAUAUAAAAUACAGUUUGUUUCACUUCUGGGUUGUCCACAUAGGAUGCCAUGUCAUGAAUUAGGAGGCUGAGGGCGUGACACGUGUUCUUCUCUAAGUAAGAUUUGUUGGUUUUCGUAUAUGAUAAUGGGCUUUCACGAAUUGAUUACUUGUGGGCUUCGAAAUUUUUUUUUCGGUCUGAAACAAACAAAAACUUAACCACAUUAGUCAACUUUACCUGUUCCACGAGAAGCCGCCAUGGUUCAUGUUCUUGGACCUCUCUUUUUUUUGUUGGACCUCUCUUUUUUUUUGUUAGACCUCUCUUUCAUCUCCAACAAUGGAGUUUCUGGAAGAGUUAUUUGAAACGAAUGGUGAUGACGAUUCCUGAAUCGAUAUGUCUUGGUGUCGUUUCAUCUCUGUUUCUUCACCUCUGAACCGUUACAAGAUGAGUUGAUCUACUGCCAUUAACUACCUUCUUAACUCCUUCGAUUCACUGCAAUUACCAUUUAUCUUCAAUGUAUCUCUCAUAUCUUCAAGGCGGUGCAUCUACAGCUAUAAAAAGUAAAAUGGCCAACUCAUGCUUCAAGCGGUGCCACCACAUGCAAGAUCAUCUUGGGAUAGAUCUGAUGACAGAUGAACUCAAGCGGAUAUUAAGAAGCGAGAUCGAAGGGAGCACUGGCCCUGUAGUUAACGGUGAUCACCAUGUCAAUACUAUGUUGGUUAUUGAGCGGCGGCUACGGUGGUGUUGGGCGUCGGAAACCACUGCGUUAUGUACAAAAACUUGAUACUUAAUUGCUGAUUUAAUUGCUUAUUUGCUCUCACAUUUAUCAUAUAGUUUUGAUGAUUUCUGUAUUUAAUUGCUUUAAACAAAACUUGGUCUAUAGAAUUUUUUUUUGUGCACUCAUACGCUAAAGCUCUCCUCUGUAAUUAACUAUUAUCCCUUUCACCUUCCACAUGGCCACUCUUAAUAAGAUUGUUCAAUCGUUCUUUGAUGUUGUGACGGAGGCAAGUGCAUUGGUUGUAUUGGAAGUGAGCUUGGUGCCUUACUGAGAUCAGUUGGUGUUUUGAUGGGAAUUCUUCAACACGGAUAAUCUGAUUUCAUUAAAUGGGGAGAGAUAUUGUUUCAUGACUCUUUGAGUACAAAUGAUAUGGAUGAAAACUACAUUGGAUCUCUGUCUGAGUCAUUUGCGAUUCCACUUUCGUGCCAUCUCCUUAACCUGAUAUUGAACGCUGCUUUUCAAAGUCACCAAGCAGCUCCAAAAGUGGAGAUUUCACAGCUGGUAUGCUUUGGGAGUUGAUUAGAUUUGAUGAAUCACAGCGACUCCAUUCUGUUUGAUUUCAGGGAAUUUCUCGGGAUGGGCAUGCUUAAAAGUUGAAAUUUUCUGAACACAAAUGGAGGGAGACGGUUGGGUUCAGACUAUGCUCAGAUUCUCGGAAGCAAAGAACGUCAAACUCGGUGGUGAGAUGAAGGCCUUGCGAUGCUUCUCCUCAUGAUUCUAAGGUUAUUAUGUUCUUUAAACUCAUGAUAAUUGUAGGAUUAAACUAUUUCUGGCGUUAAAACUCAAGAUUAUCAGACCUUUGCAUUCAUAUAUUCAUUGAAUCACUUCUGAACGGGAAAUUUAGAACCCGUCUGUGAUUAUGAUUUCUUCUUCACCUCAUGAUUAUCAGACUUUUGUAUUUUAUAUUCACUGAAUCACUUUUGAAUGCGAAAUUUAGAACCCGUCGGUUGAUUAAGAUUUCUUCUUCCCCCAUGAUUGUCAGACUUUUGUAUUCAUAUCUUCGUUGAACCUCUUUUGAAUAAUAAAUUUAGAACAUGUUCGUUGAUUAUGGAUUCUUCU